GAUGAACGCUGGCGGCGUGCCUAAUACAUGCAAGUCGAGCGAAUGGAUUAAGAGCUUGCUCUUAUGAAGUUAGCGGCGGAUGGGUGAGUAACACGUGGGUAACCUGCCCAUAAGACUGGGAUAACUCCGGGAAACCGGGGCCAAUACCGGAUAACAUUUUGAACCGCAUGGUUCGUAAUUGAAAGGCGGCUUCGGCUGUCACUUAGGGAUGGACCCGCGUCGCAGUAGCUAGUUGGUGAGGUAACGGCGCACCAAGGCAACGAUGCGGAGCCGACCUGAGAGGGUGAUCGGCCACACCGGGACUGAGACACGGCCCAGACUCCUACGGGAGGCAGCAGUAGGGAAUCUUCCGCAAUGGACGAAAGUCUGACGGAGCAACGCCGCGUGAGUGAUGAAGGCUUUCGGGUCGUAAAACUCUGUUGUUAGGGAAGAACAAGUGCUAGUUGAAUAAGCUGGCACCUUGACGGUACCUAACCAGAAAGCCACGGCUAACUACGUGCCAGCCGCCGCAGUAA
rnacentral:rRNA from 1 species